ensembl:ncRNA mir-979 mir-979 stem loop
UACAUGUGAGGAUGUCACAAAUACACUGAAUUUGGGGGGAAUUCUUAUGUAUAUACAAAUUCUUCCCGAACUCAGGCUAAUUUUGUGGCAUCCGU